rnacentral:rRNA from 1 species
UACGUAGGGGGCAAGCGUUGUCCGGAAUCAUUGGGCGUAAAGCGCGCGUAGGCGGCCCGGUAAGUCCGCUGUAAAAGUCAAAGGCUCAACCUCGAGACGCCGGUGGAAACCAUCUAGCUAGAGUCCGGAAGAGGAGAGUGGAAUUCCUGGUGUAGCGGUGAAAUGCGCAGAUAUCAGGAAGAACACCCGUGGCGAAGGCGGCUCUCUGGGACGUGACUGACGCUGAGACGCGAAAGCGUGGGGAGCGAACAGG